rnacentral:rRNA from 1 species
GUACACACCGCCCGUCGCUACUACCGAUUGAAUGGCUCAGUGAGGCGUUCGGACUGGCUCGGGGAGGUUGGCAACGACCACCCCAAGCCGGAAAGUUCGUCAAACUCGGUCAUUUAGAGGAAGUAAAAGUCGUAACAAGGUCUCCGUAGGUGAACCUGCGGAGGGAUCAUUA